UGCUCCUGCUCUUGCUACAGCUUUGCGUGCUGGAUGCAAUGCUCCAGCUGCUUCUUUCUACCACAGUCUUGACACUACCUUCUCCAUCCAAACAGCUUGUUAACCCACAAUUCUUGCUAUGUGACCAUCCAGGAUCUGAUUCUACAGCCCUUACUCGUGUGCAUCGUCCCAUUAAAACCAGCGGGGCGAUUCACAUGAACCAGAGAUGCAGGGUUGUGCUGUGCGUGCACAGCAGCACUUCUGUUGUCCCUUCACCGAGCUUCCCAUUACCUCUCCCAGAAAGAGAAGCCAGUGGCUGCAGCUGGCUGUAGCUCGACGUUUCCAGCUGCAGUUGGAGAAUGAAGUCACAGUUUGGAGUUUAAAUCACAUUGAUGGGAGUUAGCAUCCUGAACACUGGGAGUUUUGAAGCUCUAUGAUUUCCCUGAGUAGAAGACAAGGCAUCCGGAUCUGAAAACGAUGCCGCCAGAAACAUUGGAAGCACUAAGUUACUGCUUCUUCGCUCUCUGCAAACACGCCUGUUCUGCAAACAUCGCUUCUGAGCUCUUCAGAGGCAAGCUCAAUGCCUUGUUCAUCAGCUGAGCCUAUGGAACCUCAGAGAGAACAAAUGAUAGCUGAUCUAGACCUACGGGAUACACUUCCCUACCUUCGCCAUUCAUUUUCUGUACCAGAAAGGCUGCCAAAACUUAAGUGAACUAUUCAGUUCCAUUAGACUAAUAAUUGUCUCUUCAGCCCUUUUCAAGCGAGGAUCUCAAAGCACUUGCCAGCCCCAUCAUGAGCUAUAGUAGGUCUGUAUUAUAUCCCUCAUUUUACAGAUGGAGUAACUGAGGCAGAGACAAGCUAUAUGACUUAUGCAAGGUCACACUGUAGGUCAGCAGCAAAGCCAGAAACAAAAGUCCCCAAUUUCCUGACUUGAGAGUCUCUGCUCUCAGCAUUAGACAGCACUCCUUCCCUUACAGGAAGGAUCAUUAAACCUUCCUCAGGCAAAUUAGGAAAAGGUUUCUUCCUGUGUAGUCAGGAAGUCAAAUAAGAACAUGAAACAACGGCCCUAAGUUUCUGAGGGCCAAAUUCUGAUACCCUGACUCCGGUGCUUAAUUUGCACCAGGGCUGAGUCCCAGCACCUCUGGGCUUGGCAGUUCAUAGCCCCAGCACCUCUGGGCUUGGCAGUUCAUAGCCCCAGCACCUCUGGGCUUGCUGCAUCAGUUAUGAAUGUACAAAAAUUGCUUGACCCUGACCCCUAACUGCUUGAGUCACAGCAUCAAUUUCAUUACAAAUUAAGCACUGUCUUACCCACACUGAAUGGGACUUUACUCC
rnacentral:lncRNA from 1 species